GCCCCUGUAGCUCAGCGGAUAGAGCAUCGGAUUACGGAUCCGAGUGUCGGAGGUUCGAGUCCUUCCAGGGGUG
rnacentral:tRNA from 2 species